rnacentral:rRNA from 1 species
AUACCUAAUACGUUGAGCGUGCUAUCAAACACCACCUUCCUAUUUGUCGGUCUCGCGUGGCUCAUCCUUUGCCACUACACAAACUACUUCAGGCUAUGCUCAGAGGGGGAGCGCUUGAGUUGGACACUGCUUUGCUGGUGUCACUUCUGGCGUGUUGGUUCAUCCUACUACCAUCUCUACGCGAACGAUGCCACCUUUGUUUGGGACAAAUUGCCUGAUGACGUUGCUUUCACGUCUAUCGUGGCCAUUUUCAACAUUAAAAGGGUUGAUGAUAGGUCAGGAACAAAGUCCCUUGCACCCCUUGUUAUUGCUGGUGCACUGAGCAUCAUGUACUGGAGUUUCUUUGAUGAUCUUCGGCCAUAUGCGGUAAUCCAGUUCAUGCCAUGCAUUGUAAUACCUGUGAUGACUAUAGUUAUUCCACCAAUGUAUACACAUUCAAGAUUUUUCAAAUUGAUUUCAGGAUUUUACCUUCUUGCCAAAGUAGAAGAGGCUGCAGACAAACCUAUAUAUAGGUGAACACAUGACAUUGUUAGUGGAUAUACUCUUAAGCAUCUAUGUGCUGCGAUGCUACCUGUUUUCUUUACUCUUAUGUUGGCAAAGAGGACAAUUGAACCUGACAGGGUAACCUUACUCAAGAUGUGGAAG